AUGCUUUCAGUUCAAAUGGAUGAUGAUUGGCAUGUUCAUGGACAAACCGUGAAAAGUGCUGUCUUAACCUUGUUAUACUCUGCACCUCAGCCCGUCUGCAC